rnacentral:rRNA from 1 species
UACGUAGGUGGCGAGCGUUGUCCGGAUUUACUGGGUGUAAAGGGCGUGUAGGCGGGAUAGCAAGUCAGGUGUGAAAUACCAAGGCUUAACCUUGGGGCUGCAUUUGAAACUGUUAUUCUUGAGUGUCGGAGAGGAAAGCGGAAUUCCUAGUGUAGCGGUGAAAUGCGUAGAUAUUUGGAGGAACACCAGUGGCGAAGGCGGCUUUCUGGACGAUAACUGACGCUGAGGCGCGAAAGCGUGGGGAGCAAACAGGAUUAGAUACCCCUGUAGUCCCUGA